GACGAACGCUGGCGGCGUGCUUAACACAUGCAAGUCGAACGGUGAAGGCGGAGCUUGCUCUGCCGGAUCAGUGGCGAACGGGUGAGUAACACGUGGGCAACCUGCCCCUCACUUCGGGAUAACUCCGGGAAACCGGGGCUAAUACCGGAUACGACCUCCUUGGGCAGCUUUGGAGGUGGAAAGUUUUUCGGUGAGGGAUGGGCCCGCGGCCUAUCAGCGUGUUGGUGAGGUAGUGGCUCACCAAGGCGACGACGGGUAGCCGGCCUGAGAGGGCGACCGGCCACACUGGGACUGAGACACGGCCCAGACUCCUACGGGAGGCAGCAGUGGGGAAUAUUGCGCGAUGGGCGAAAGCCUGACGCAGCAACGCCGCGUGCGGGAUGAAGGCCUUCGGGUUGUAAACCGCUUUCAGCAGGGAAGAAGCCGCAAGGUGACGGUACCUGCAGAAGAAGCACCGGCUAACUACGUGCCAGCCGCCGCAGUAA
rnacentral:rRNA from 1 species